UUCGUGGAUGACCAGGAGGUGCGCACGGCCAAGACGAAUCCACGUGAGGAGCAGUUCAACAGCACCUACCGUGUGGUCAGUGUCCUUCCCAUCCAGCACCAGGACUGGCUUGCAGGGAAGGAGUUCAAGUGCAAGGUCAACAACAAAGCCCUCCCAUCCCCCAUCGUGAGGACCAUCUCCAAGGCCAGAGGGCAGGCCCAACAGCCCAAUGUGUACGUCCUGCCCCCACCCCGGGAUGAGAUGAACAAGAACACAGUCAGCGUGACCUGCCUGGUCAAAGACUUCUACCCACCUGACGUUGAUGUCGAGUGGCAGAGCAAUGGACAGCAGGUGCCAGAGACCAAUAUCCGAACAACCCCACCCCAGCUGGACGCGGAUGGGACCUACUUCCUCUACAGCAAGCUCUCGGUGGACAAGAACCGC